rnacentral:lncRNA from 7 species
AAAGGGGCCGCACCGUGGUCGCGGCUGGACCGGGUGAGCGGGGGACGGAAUGGGGAUCGGCCCGGGCGAGGAGUCCCUCUGUGCGUGAAGUUGUGGGUAGAUGCAUACGCACACACGGCUGCAGUCGAGAGUCCGAGAUGUCAGUAGGCGCGUGGCCGUGCGUUGCUGCUCGCUCCCACGCGUGUGCAGGCAGACGCGUGCCGGUGCUCUGGCGGCGGUGCCUGUGAACACGGCUGUGCACGUCUGCCCCGUGCUCUGCGUGGCGGAACAGCUCGUUUUGGACGUGAGUUCGAGUGCGCUCCUCUGGAGACAAACGUCUCGAUGAGUUUGCCACAUAGCCGUUAUUCGUUAUUGCCUCUGCCUUGAGUCCUUCGUUCCCUACAAGAUUAAAUGUCUGCAGGACACAGCAGAUGAAGGCAAAAUGCUGCUUCACCAGCCUGUGUUCAGAAUACUUUUUAGUAAAGAUGUCAGAGAGAAACAAAGAAUAUCUAACGAAUAUUCCACAUUGAAGCUAUGGCAGUCUCUUUUGGAAAGUAUAACAAAGUUUCAGUGGCAGGAAAGCAAAAGACUCCAGUAGUCAUUUUUCCUUGAUCUUCAUGUUAUCCUAUAAGAAUCUCCAAGCCCACUCUGAGAAACUUGAUACUGAACAUGGGAAUUUUUUUUCCCCAGUAGACAAUUUGUCAGAACACAGUGAAAUUGGAUUACAUUCAUCAAUGUAUUUACCCCAAAUAAAAUUAACAAAGU